rnacentral:rRNA from 1 species
UACGUAGGGGGCUAGCGUUGUCCGGAAUCAUUGGGCGUAAAGAGCGCGUAGGCGGCCCGGUAAGUCCGCUGUGAAAGUCGGGGGCUCAACCCUCGAAUGCCGGUGGAUACUGUCGGGCUAGAGUGCGGAAGAGGCGAGUGGAAUUCCUGGUGUAGCGGUGAAAUGCGCAGAUAUCAGGAGGAACACCGAUUGCGAAGGCAGCUCGCUGGGACGUAACUGACGCUGAGACGCGAAAGCGUGGGGAGCAAACAGG